AGUGAACGCUGGCGGUAGGCCUAACACAUGCAAGUCGAACGGCAGCACAGUAAGAGCUUGCUCUUACGGGUGGCGAGUGGCGGACGGGUGAGGAAUACAUCGGAAUCUACUUUUUCGUGGGGGAUAACGUAGGGAAACUUACGCUAAUACCGCAUACGACCUACGGUUGAAAGCAGGGGAUCUUCGGACCUUGCGCGAUUGAAUGAGCCGAUGUCGGAUUAGCUAGUUGGCGGGGUAAAGGCCCACCAAGGCGACGAUCCGUAGCUGGUCUGAGAGGAUGAUCAGCCACACUGGAACUGAGACACGGUCCAGACUCCUACGGGAGGCAGCAGUGGGGAAUAUUGGACAAUGGGCGCAAGCCUGAUCCAGCCAUACCGCGUGGGUGAAGAAGGCCUUCGGGUUGUAAAGACCUUUUGUUGGGAAAGAAAAGCAGCAGGUUAAUACCACGCUGUUCUGACGGUACCCAAAGAAUAAGCACCGGCUAACUUCGUG
rnacentral:rRNA from 1 species